ACGGUCCUAAGGUAGCGAAAUUCCUUGUCGGGUAAGUUCCGACCCGCACGAAAGGUGUAACGAUUUGGGCACUGUCUCAACGAGGGACCCGGUGAAAUUGAAGUACCUGUGAAGAUGCAGGUUACCCGCGACUGGACAGAAAGACCCCAUGGAGCUUUACUGUAACCUGACAUUGGGUUCUGAUACAUCACGUACAGGAUAGGUGGGAGGCAUGGAAGCGAGGACGCUAGUCUUCGUGGAGCCGCCGUUGGGAUACCACCCUUGAUGUAUCGGAAUUCUAACCGUAGGAGUAACGAAACUCGGGACAGUGUCAGGCGGGCAGUUUGACUGGGGCGGUCGCCUCCCAAAGAGUAACGGAGGCGCCCAAAGGUUCCCUCAGCGCGGCCGGAAAUCGCGCGAAGAGUGUAAAGGCAGAAGGGAGCUUGACUGAGAGCCAAACACGGCGAUCAGGUACGAAAGUAGGGCUUAGUGAUCCGGUGGCAUCCAAGUGGAAGGGCCAUCGCUCAACGGAUAAAAGCUACCCUGGGGAUAACAGGCUAAUCUCUCCCAAGAGUCCAUAUCGACGGGGAGGUUUGGCACCUCGAUGUCGGCUCAUCACAUCCUGGGGCUGAAGUCGGUCCCAAGGGUUGGGCUGUUCGCCCAUUAAAGUGGUACGUGAGCUGGGUUCAGAACGUCGUGAGACAGUUCGGUCCCUAUCCAUCGCGGGCGCAAGAGAUUUGAAGGGGGCUGCUCCUAGUACGAGAGGACCGGAGUGGACGAACCAAUGGUGUACCAAUUAUCUCGCCAGAGGUAUAGUUGGGUAGCUACGUUCGGAAAGGAUAAACGCUGAAAGCAUCUAAGCGUGAAACCAGCCUUAAGAUGAGAUCUCUCAUAGAGUAAUCUAGUAAGACACCUUGGAGAAGACGAGGUUGAUAGGUCGGGAGUGUAAGUACAGUAAUGUAUUCAGCGGACCGAUACUAAUAUGUCGAGGGCUUGACUU
rnacentral:rRNA from 1 species